UGCAAGUCGAACGGCAGCACAGGAGAGCUUGCUCUCUGGGUGGCGAGUGGCGGACGGGUGAGGAAUACAUCGGAAUCUACUUUUUCGUGGGGGAUAACGUAGGGAAACUUACGCUAAUACCGCAUACGACCUACGGGUGAAAGCCGGGGACCUUCGGGCCUGGCGCGGAUAAAUGAGCCGAUGUCCGAUUAGCUAGUUGGCGGGGUAAGAGCCCACCAAGGCGACGAUCGGUAGCUGGUCUGAGAGGAUGAUCAGCCACACUGGAACUGAGACACGGUCCAGACUCCUACGGGAGGCAGCAGUGGGGAAUAUUGGACAAUGGGCGCAAGCCUGAUCCAGCCAUACCGCGUGGGUGAAGAAGGCCUUCGGGUUGUAAAGCCCUUUUGUUGGGAAAGAAAAGCAGCCAGUUAAUACCUGGUUGUUCUGACGGUACCCAAAGAAUAAGCACCGGCUAACUUCGUGCCAGCAGCCGCGGUAAUACGAAGGGUGCAAGCGUUACUCGGAAUUACUGGGCGUAAAGCGUGCGUAGGUGGUUGUUUAAGUCUGUCGUGAAAGCCCUGGGCUCAACCUGGGAAUUGCGAUGGAAACUGGGCAACUAGAGUGUGGCAGAGGAUAGUGGAAUUCCUGGUGUAGCAGUGAAAUGCGUAGAGAUCAGGAGGAACAUCCGUGGCGAAGGCGACUGUCUGGGCCAACACUGACACUGAGGCACGAAAGCGUGGGGAGCAAACAGGAUUAGAUAC
rnacentral:rRNA from 1 species